GAUGAAUGCUGGCGGCGUGCCUAACACAUGCAAGUCGAACGAGGCAAAUGAGAUGAAGUUUUCGGAUGGAUUCUUAUUUACCGAGUGGCGGACGGGUGAGUAACGCGUGGGUAACCUGCCUCAUACAGGGGGAUAACGAUUGGAAACGAUUGCUAAUACCGCAUAAGCGCACAGUACCACAUGGUACGGUGUGAAAAACUCCGGUGGUAUGAGAUGGACCCGCGUCUGAUUAGCUAGUUGGUGAGGUAACGGCCCACCAAGGCAACGAUCAGUAGCCGACCUGAGAGGGUGACCGGCCACAUUGGGACUGAGACACGGCCCAGACUCCUACGGGAGGCAGCAGUGGGGGAUAUUGCACAAUGGAGGAAACUCUGAUGCAGCGACGCCGCGUGAGUGAAGAAGUAUUUCGGUAUGUAAAGCUCUAUCAGCAGGGAAGAAAAUGACGGUACCUGACUAAGAAGCCCCGGCUAACUACGUGCCAGCCGCCGCCGUAA
rnacentral:rRNA from 1 species